rnacentral:rRNA from 1 species
ACCUACGGGGCGAGCAGUGAGGAAUAUUGGUCAAUGGGCGCGAGCCUGAACCAGCCAAGUCGCGUGAGGGAAGACGGUCCUAUGGAUUGUAAACCUCUUUUGUCGGGGAGCAAAAGACGCCACGUGUGGCGCUCCGAGAGUACCCGAAGAAAAAGCAUCGGCUAACCCCGUGCCAGCAGCCGCGGUAAUACGGAGGAUGCGAGCGUUAUCCGGAUUUAUUGGGUUUAAAGGGUGCGCAGGCGGAAGAUCAAGUCAGCGGUAAAAUUGAGAGGCUCAACCUCUUCGAGCCGUUGAAACUGGUUUUU